rnacentral:rRNA from 1 species
GAUGAACGCUGGCGGCGUGCCUAAUACAUGCAAGUCGAGCGAACAGACGAGGAGCUUGCUCCUCUGACGUUAGCGGCGGACGGGUGAGUAACACGUGGAUAACCUACCUAUAAGACUGGUAUAACUUCGGGAAACCGGAGCUAAUACCGGAUAAUAUAUUGAACCGCAUGGGUCAAUAGUGAAAGACGGUUUUGCUGUCACUUAUAGAUGGAUCCGCGCCGCAUUAGCUAGUUGGUAAGGUAACGGCUUACCAAGGCAACGAUGCGUAGCCGACCUGAGAGGGUGAUAGGCCACACUGGAACUGAGACACGGUCCAGACUCCUACGGGAGGCAGCAGUAGGGAAUCUUCCGCAAUGGGCGAAAGCCUGACGGAGCAACGUCGCGUGAGUGAUGAAGGUCUUCGGAUCGUAAAACUCUGUUAUUAGGGAAGAACAAAUGUGUAAGUAACUAUGCACGUCUUGACGGUACCUAAUCAGAAAGCCACGGCUAACUACGUG